AGUGAACGCUGGCGGUAGGCCUAACACAUGCAAGUCGAACGGCAGCACAGUAAGAGCUUGCUCUUACGGGUGGCGAGUGGCGGACGGGUGAGGAAUACAUCGGAAUCUACUUUUUCGUGGGGGAUAACGUAGGGAAACUUACGCUAAUACCGCAUACGACCUACGGGUGAAAGCAGGGGAUCUUCGGACCUUGCGCGAUUGAAUGAGCCGAUGUCGGAUUAGCUAGUUGGCGGGGUAAAGGCCCACCAAGGCGACGAUCCGUAGCUGGUCUGAGAGGAUGAUCAGCCACACUGGAACUGAGACACGGUCCAGACUCCUACGGGAGGCAGCAGUGGGGAAUAUUGGACAAUGGGCGCAAGCCUGAUCCAGCCAUACCGCGCGGGUGAAGAAGGCCUUCGGGUUGUAAAGCCCUUUUGUUGGGAAAGAGAAGCAGCAGGUUAAUACCCCGCUGUUCUGACGGUACCCAAAGAAUAAGCACCGGCUAACUUCGUG
rnacentral:rRNA from 1 species